CUACUGCCGAAGAGUCCCACACCAGGACGAAACAGCUGUCCACUAC
rnacentral:hammerhead_ribozyme from 1 species